AUUGAACGCUGGCGGCAGGCCUAACACAUGCAAGUCGAGCGAGCGGCGGACGGGUGAGUAAUGUAUGGGGACUGCCCGAUAGAGGGGGAUAACUACUGGAAACGGUGGCUAAUACCGCAUACUAUCGGAUAACCCAUAUGGGUUUAGCUAGUGGGUGGGGUAAAGGCUCACCUAGGCGACGAUCUCUAGCUGGUCUGAGAGGAUGAUCAGCGACACUGGAACUGAGACACGGGCCAGACUCCUACGGAGGCAGCAGUGGGGAAUAGUGGACAAUGGGCGCAAGCCUGAUGCAGCCAUGCCGCGUGUGUGAAGAAGGCCUUAGGAUUGUAAAGUACUUUAAGCGGGGAGGCGUUACCCGCAGAAGAAGCACCGGCUAACUCCGUGCCAGCCGCCGCGGUAAUAC
rnacentral:rRNA from 1 species